UACAGAGGUCUCAAGCGUUGUUCGGAUUCAUUGGGCGUAAAGGGUGCGUAGGCGGCGCGGUAAGUCGGAUGUGAAAUCUCGGAGCUUAACUCCGAAACUGCAUUCGAUACUGCCGUGCUUGAGGACUGGAGAGGAGACUGGAAUUUACGGUGUAGCGGUGAAAUGCGUAGAUAUCGAGAGGAACACCAGUGGCGAAGGCGAGUCCCUGGACAACUCCUGACGCUGAGGCACGAAAGCUAGGGGAGCAAACAGG
rnacentral:rRNA from 1 species